rnacentral:rRNA from 1 species
GUGCCAGCCGCCGCGGUAAUACGGGGGGGGCAAGCGUUGUUCGGAAUUACUGGGCGUAAAGGGCUCGUAGGUGGCCAACUAAGUCAGACGUGAAAUCCCCAGGCUUAACCUGGGAACUGCGUCUGAUACUGGAUGGCUUGAAUUCGGGAGAGGGAUGCAGAAUUCCAGGUGUAGCGGUGAAAUGCGUAGAUAUCUGGAGGAAUACCGGUGGCGAAGGCGGCAUCCUGGACCGAGAUUGACACUGAUGAGCGAAAGCCAGGGGAGCAAACGGGAUUAGAAACCCCCGUAGUCC